CAGCCAGAUCCCUUCCUCUUCCUAGGAAUCUCCUUCUUCAAACUUCCCAAACAGAAUAGAGCUGAAGAGACAAAAGGCCAACAGAAAGAGUUACUAGAGGUGAGAUCUGGAAAAGUGGUUCCUCUCUCCACAGAAAAUGGAUUUCCACAAAGAAGCAAAGGAAGGAACAGAAACAGAAAAAUUGCUGAGAAUUAGGAGAGGACAACAAAAUGAAACACAUAUAACUGUAAUAGCAGCAGGAGGCAGAAAGCAAAUUUUCAAGCACACUUCUACUCUACUUUAGCAUAAAAGUCACCCUGGAAGGUUAUUUGCAGACUACACUUCCAUCUUGUUUAUGAUUCAAGCUUAUAUUAAAAGAAGAAAUUAACCUAGAA